UCCGGGAGGUCGGAAGGCCGUGUAGGAUCGGGCUUUCAAUUCAAGCGACUGCUAUAAUUCCUGAAUUAUUCUUUCUCCAGUGCUGUUUGAGCGAUUUCAGAGACUGUUUCCUACGAAUAGUGAGAUCAGAUUGGGCAAAUUGUUAGAGUUCUAUUGACUGGAUAAUGGACGAAUCUAAUCCGUGGAUAUUAUUUGGGAUUACGUCUGUCAAAUUAUCACUGUAUACGUAAUUGUGUGUGCUACAUUGAGAACUUUUUGAAGAAAUCGACCUGUCUAUAUUUCGUCCAUCUGGAUCUGUAGAUUCCUGAGAUCUUCAACUCAUGCGGGAGUCUUAAAUUCAGUUCAUGUAUAGUUAGAAGACAGUUUCUAUCGCCAUGGAAGCGCUCUUCUGGACGCUUGUGCUCCUCUCUCAAGUCCUUGGAGUCGUCAGUGUGAUCCUGUUAGCAACAUGGUUAUCAGAAUACGGCGGAGGCUAUGACUGGGACUGUGGAAACGGAGUUGGCAGCUACCAUUACCUUCUGCUAACGAUCGGCAUGGUUUUUCUCUAUGCGGAAGCAAUGAUCUCAUUUCGAGUGACACACAGACUCGGUCUCUCCUACACGGCUGAGAAAGCGAUCCACGCAACGAUACAAUCAAUCGUCGUCGUUUUAGUUGGUAUCGGUGUGCAUGCUGCGUUCGUCUGCAAAGACACACAGGGCCCAGAAAAGGCGGAAAAGACCUGUAUUCAUUACACAGCUGGUUGGGACUAGCAACAAUUAUUGUCUUCUUUGGCCAGUGGAUAUAUGGGAUUGUGAUGACUGUCGCCUUACGCAAGCUCGAUCGCUCAUGGCAAGAUUUGCUGCUCCCCAACCAUGCUUUCUUUGGUAUUCUAAUAUUCGCCAUGUCAAUAUGCUCUUGUUUAACAGGAGUCAACGAAAUGGCUAUAUUCUUCGUAGAGAACUACAAUCAAAUCGUGCCUUCGGGUCACCUCGCCAAUGCCUUUGGUCUUUGCCUCAUCGCGUUUGCUGCCGUUACCGCUUACGUCGCUUAUAAACCAGACUUUCAAAUUCCAGAAAACAGGCGGCACCCAGAAUGCAACGCGGUACCCACAUCAGAGGGCAUCGCUACUUCCGGGUCAGGAAAGUUGUCACGAACCCGACAGAGCAUGCGCAUCACAAGUACGGUGCUACGGAGGAGACGGCGUUCAAAGAAAUGGAUGAAAGAGAAACGAAAGAAGUUUGAAGUAUGAAUCUAAGAUAUUUACGUACAGGUGUAUUUCAGACUCUGAUAUCGAUAUUACGAUGACAAGGAAGCGAGAGAAUGAAUGGUGCCUAUUUUUCCUUCAACAAAUAACAUUCAGAAUUUCAGAUUCGGUAUGAACUAUAUUAUCAGAUUCAUAUUUAUAUGCAAAAGUGAAUUCCAACUGCCUUUAUGUAUGUUUUGACUUUCAUAUAACUGGAGUGCUAUAAAACAUAUACAUAAUUGGAAACAUCGUGGAAUUCCAUCUGUAAUGUGGCAACCAAACAGCGAAAAAAGCUAUGGACUACUUAAAACCAAUUGGGGUGAGCUUUUCAUCUGGACAAUGUCAUACAAGCUUCAAUGUGAUUGGUUUGUAAAACUUACUUCGUUGUGACGGACUUUCACCAAAUCGGCCUUUUUUCUGUAUCAGUUCUUGAACAAUUUCCAGCCUUAAAGAAUUCAGAGUUGUUCGUGAAUUACGAUUGAAUUACUUUUUAAAACUAUCACUAUGAAAAUUAAGAUUGUUCAAACCAAUGAAUUCUUAAUAACAGUA
rnacentral:lncRNA from 1 species